rnacentral:miRNA from 1 species
UCAAUGUGCCUGUGGCUGUAAUU